rnacentral:rRNA from 1 species
AUGGACGCAAGUCUGAUGGAGCAACGCCGCGUGAGUGAAGAAGGGUUUCGGCUCGUAAAGCUCUGUUGGUAGUGAAGAAAGAUAGAGGUAGUAACUGGCCUUUAUUUGACGGUAAUUACUUAGAAAGUCACGGCUAACUACGUGCCAGCAGCCGCGGUAAUACGUAGGUGGCAAGCGUUGUCCGGAUUUAUUGGGCGUAAAGCGAGUGCAGGCGGUUCAAUAAGUCUGAUGUGAAAGCCUUCGGCUCAACCGGAGAAUUGCAUCAGAAACUGUUGAACUUGAGUGCAGAAGAGGAGAGUGGAACUCCAUGUGUAGCGGUGGAAUGCGUAGAUAUAUGGAAGAACACCAGUGGCGAAGGCGGCUCUCUGGUCUGCAACUGACGCUGAGGCUCGAAAGCAUGGGUAGCGAACAGGAUUAGAUACCCUGGUAGUCCAUGCCGUAAACGAUGAGUGCUAAGUGUUGGGAGGUUUCCGCCUCUCAGUGCUGCAGCUAACGCAUUAAGCACUCCGCCUGGGGAGUACGACCGCAAGGUUGAAACUCAAAGGAAUUGACGGGGGCCCGCACAAGCGGUGGAGCAUGUGGUUUAAUUCGAAGCAACGCGAAGAACCUUACCAGGUCUUGACAUUCAGUGCAAAC